CCGUUGUACACACCGCCGUCACACCACGAAAGUUUGUCACGCCCGAAGCCGGUGAGCUAACCGCAAGGAGGCAGCCGUCUAAGGUGGGGCCGAUGAUUGGGGUG
rnacentral:rRNA from 1 species